rnacentral:rRNA from 1 species
CUCCUACGGGAGGCAGCAGUGAGGAAUAUUGGACAAUGGGUGAAAGCCUGAUCCAGCCAUCCCGCGUGAAGGAUGACGGUCCUAUGGAUUGUAAACUUCUUUUGUACAGGGAUAAACCUACUCUCGUGAGGGUACCUGAAGGUACUGUACGAAUAAGGAUCGGCUAACUCCGUGCCAGCAGCCGCGGUAAUACGGAGGAUGCAAGCGUUAUCCGGAUUUAUUGGGUUUAAAGGGUCCGUAGGCGGACCUGUAAGUCAGUGGUGAAAUCUCAUAGCUUAACUAUGAAACUGCCAUUGAUACUGCAGGUCUUGAGUAAAUUUGAAGUGGCUGGAAUAAGUAGUGUAGCGGUGAAAUGCAUAGAUAUUACUUAGAACACCAAUUGCGAAGGCAGGUCACUAAGAUUUAACUGACGCUGAUGGACGAAAGCGUGGGUAGCGAACAGGA